ACUCCAUGGUAAGGACAAGACCUAGUGUAACCCUUCAAUCUUUCCCAAGUUUCAUAGAGAGCUUCUUGCUUGAAGCUCGUGAUAUCGUUUCUAAUUCU
rfam:Arabis alpina cultivar Pajares Aa.chr6_contig_1269, whole genome shotgun sequence.